ACUCCUACGGGAGGCAGCAGUGGGGAAUAUUGGACAAUGGGGGCAACCCUGAUCCAGCCAUGCCGCGUGUAUGAAGAAGGCCCUCGGGUUGUAAAGUACUUUCAGUGGUGAGGAAGGUUGCGUGGUUAAUACCCACGUAAUUUGACGUUAGCCACAGAAGAAGCACCGGCUAACUCCGUGCCAGCAGCCGCGGUAAUACGGAGGGUGCAAGCGUUAAUCGGAAUUACUGGGCGUAAAGCGCAUGCAGGCGGUUAAUUAAGCCAGAUGUGAAAGCCCCGGGCUCAACCUGGGAAUGCAUUUGGAACUGGAUUAACUAGAGUCUCAGAGAGGGGGUAGGAAUUCCAGGUGUAGCGGUGAAAUGCGUAGAGAUCU
rnacentral:rRNA from 1 species